rnacentral:lncRNA from 1 species
AGAAAGCCCGAACCCCCAGGUCUUGAGCCAUGUCCAGGGUUUCACGGUAUGUCCACACACGGGAUUUCACUGCAGCCUUGAUGGGUUGAAGCCAUCUGCGGCCCUACGAGUGCAGUGGUGCUCAUUGACGCCAGAGGAAAGGGUCACAGCCAGCGCCUUGAGUGGCCCUCCCGGCCUACUGCGGGAAACAGCCUAGAGUUUGCCC